rnacentral:rRNA from 1 species
UGGGGAAUAUUGGACAAUGGGCGAAAGCCUGAUCCAGCCAUGCCGCGUGUGUGAAGAAGGUCUUCGGAUUGUAAAGCACUUUAAGUUGGGAGGAAGGGUUGUAGAUUAAUACUCUGCAAUUUUGACGUUACCGACAGAAUAAGCACCGGCUAACUCUGUGCCAGCAGCCGCGGUAAUACAGAGGGUGCAAGCGUUAAUCGGAAUUACUGGGCGUAAAGCGCGCGUAGGUGGUUUGUUAAGUUGGAUGUGAAAUCCCCGGGCUCAACCUGGGAACUGCAUUCAAAACUGACAAGCUAGAGUAUGGUAGAGGGUGGUGGAAUUUCUUGUGUAGCGGUGAAAUGCGUAGAUAUAGGAAGGAACACCAGUGGCGAAGGCGACCACCUGGACUGAUACUGACACUGAGGUGCGAAAGCGUGGGGAGCAAACAGGAUUAGAUACCCCAGUAGUCCCUGAGCGGGCUGGCAAGGCGCAU